UACGGGGGGGCAAGCGUUGUUCGGAAUUACUGGGCGUAAAGGCUCGUAGGUGGCCAACUAAGUCAGACGUGAAAUCCCUCGGCUUAACCGGGGAACUGCGUCUGAUACUGGAUGGCUUGAGAUUGGGAGAGGGAUGCGGAAUUCCAGGUGUAGCGGUGAAAUGCGUAGAUAUCUGGAGGAACACCGGUGGCGAAGGCGGCAUCCUGGACCAACACUGACGCUGAGGAGCGAAAGCCCAGGGGAGCCAAGCGGG
rnacentral:rRNA from 1 species